rnacentral:rRNA from 1 species
AACGAACGCUGGCGGCAGGCCUAACACAUGCAAGUCGAGCGCUCACCUUCGGGUGGGAGCGGCGCACGGGUGAGUAACACGUGGGAACCUACCUUGAAGUACGGAAUAACUGAGGGAAACUUCAGCUAAUACCGUAUACGCCCUACGGGGGAAAGAUUUAUCGCUUCAAGACGGGCCCGCGUUGGAUUAGCUAGUUGGUGAGGUAACGGCUCACCAAGGCAACAAUCCAUAGCUGAUUUGAGAGAAUGAUCAGCCACACUGGGACUGAGACACGGCCCAGCCUCCUACGGGAGGCAGCAGUGGGGAAUAUUGGACAAUGGGCGCAAGCCUGAUCCAGCCAUGCCGCGUGAGUGAUGAAGGCCUUCGGGUAGUAAAGCUCUUUCAGAUGGGACGAUGAUGACGGUACCAUCAGAAGAAGCCCCGGCUAACUUCGUGCCAGCCGCCGCCGUAACAC